rnacentral:ncRNA from 2 species
AAAUUUAUAGGUGAUGGAGUUCACCUUAAUCGCUUGAUGCUAAUGACUCCUACAGGUAA